GUGGCUGCUCUGGGCAACGUGCUGUUCUCUGAGGGGGUUCCGUGGCCCUCCCGGGGUUGGGACUGCAGUGGGCUCUGAGUCUCUCCCCCUGCCAGGUUCCCCCUCCCUGGGGCAUGGAGGCUCCUCAGGUGGGCUACCUGGUAAUUAUUCCAAUUUUCCAGCACAUUUGGGUUGAGUAGGGAGGCAGGUUCACCUGCUGAGCUGAUUCCAGGGAUCGGGCAAGAAGUCAAUGGGCAGCAGGUGAGGUUGCCGCUGUGAUCUCCUUCUGGUCGACUCUCCUCAGAAGAGAACAGGGCUGCUCCCUGUCCUUCAGCCCAGCUCUCCUGUUUUCUCAUCAUCUCAGCAGGACAGGAAAGACAGAACCUGCCAGAACCAAGAAUGAACAUGGUGAGAAGAGAGGCAGGCACAUGGUGGAUUGACUGCAGGGCAUGUGGAUCAGGCAAAAAGCCAGUGGGAUCAGGUGAGGUUGCUGCCGUGACCUCCUUCAGGUCGACCGUCCUACUCAGCAGAGACCAGACCUGCCCCUCGUCUUCCAGCCCUGCGUCUGGUGUGUUUUCUCAGCUCCUCAGCGGGACAAGAAAGGAUCGAGCCUGCCAGAACCAAGCAGCAACACCAGGAGUGUGCAGGUAUGGAGAAAAGAGCCGUGUGAAGACAAGAGAGAAAGUGGCCAUCUGCAACUCAAGGAGAGAAGCCUCAGGAGAGACAUCACCACUGGCACCUGGAUCCUGGACUUUCAGCACUAUGAGGAAGUACACUUCUGUUGUUUAAGCCAUCUAGUCUGGUGUAUUUUAUUUCAAACCUCAAGCUAGCACCUGUCUAUUAAAAUUACGGUUUUCUCUGGAUCUGUGCCCAGGAAUGGGAU
ensembl:lncRNA